rnacentral:rRNA from 1 species
UACAGAGGUCUCAAGCGUUGUUCGGAUUCAUUGGGCGUAAAGGGUGCGUAGGCGGCGCGGUAAGUCGGGUGUGAAAUCUUGGAGCUUAACUCCGAAACUGCAUUCGAUACUGCCGUGCUUGAGGACUGGAGAGGAGACUGGAAUUUACGGUGUAGCGGUGAAAUGCGUAGAUAUCGUAAGGAAAGACCAGUGGCGAAGGCGGGUCUCUGGACAGUUCCUGACGCUGAGGCACGAAGGCCAGGGGGAGCAAACGGGGAUUAGAACCUUACGUAGUC